rnacentral:rRNA from 1 species
CACGUAGGGUGCGAGCGUUGUCCGGAAUUAUUGGGCGUAAAGAGCUCGUAGGCGGUCUGUUACGUCCGCUGUGAAAACCCAGGGCUUAACCCUGGGCUUGCAGUGGAUACGGGCAGACUAGAGGCAGGUAGGGGAGAAUGGAAUUCCCGGUGUAGCGGUGAAAUGCGCAGAUAUCGGGAAGAACCCCCGUGGCGAAGGCGGUUCUCUGGGACGGUACUGACGCUGAGACGCGAAAGCGUGGGGAGCGAACAGG